rnacentral:rRNA from 1 species
AGUGAACGCUGGCGGUAGGCCUAACACAUGCAAGUCGAACGGCAGCACAGUAAGAGCUUGCUCUUACGGGUGGCGAGUGGCGGACGGGUGAGGAAUACAUCGGAAUCUACUUUUUCGUGGGGGAUAACGUAGGGAAACUUACGCUAAUACCGCAUACGACCUACGGGUGAAAGCAGGGGAUCUUCGGACCUUGCGCGAUUGAAUGAGCCGAUGUCGGAUUAGCUAGUUGGCGGGGUAAAGGCCCACCAAGGCGACGAUCCGUAGCUGGUCUGAGAGGAUGAUCAGCCACACUGGAACUGAGACACGGUCCAGACUCCUACGGGAGGCAGCAGUGGGGAAUAUUAGACAAUGGGCGCAAGCCUGAUCCAGCCAUACCGCGUGGGUGAAGAAGGCCUUCGGGUUGUAAAGCCCUUUGUUGGGAAAGAAAAGCAGCAGGUUAAUACCCCGCUGUUCUGACGGUACCCAAAGAAUAAGCACCGGCUAACUUCGUG